CUCUCUCUCUCUCUCUCUCUCUCUCUCUCUCUUUGCUUCUUUCUUUCUUUCUUUCUUUCUCUCUUUUUCUUUCUUUUCAAGAUAGGUUUCAUCAAGGUUCUUCUAACUUAUGGAAAUCCUCAUGCUUCAGUUCCCCUGUUUUUGAAAUUGCAAUGCGACCCUAUAAGAAGACCAGCAGUCUCAAGUAACCUGGUCUGAGGAAUCUCUCAGACACUGAGACAUCAACCAGCUGAUAUGAGGCCGGCCCCCAAUGCAUAUACAGCAGAGAACUGCUGGGUCUGGACACCUAGCCCUCGAGAGACUUGGGGCCUCAUUUCAACUUUCUGUGACCCUCUCCCCAGCCUGGAGCUGGUUCUCUCAGACCUUGCCUUGCCACAAAUAGCCAUGCUUCUCUCCAAGCUCCUGCUAAUAGCCACACCUCUCUCCAAGUUCCUGUUAUGCUGGAACUCAUGCCUCUAGAGACUGAAGAUGAAGAUGCUGAUUGGGCCGGGAGAUGCUGAUGGACUGGGGGAGGGGUUUCUGUUGGCCUUCUUGUUACACAGUUGAAUACACAUGGCAGACUGAAAGCAUAA